GAUGAACGCUAGCGAUAGGCUUAACACAUGCAAGUCGAGGGGCAGCAUGGUCUUAGCUUGCUAAGACUGAUGGCGACCGGCGCACGGGUGCGUAACGCGUAUGCAACUUGCCUCACAGAGGGGGAUAACCCGUCGAAAGACGGACUAAUACCGCGUACACUUGGGAUAGGGCAUCCUGACCCAAGGAAAUGAAAUUCGCUGUGAGAUAGGCAUGCGUCCCAUUAGCUAGUUGGUGAGGUAACGGCUCACCAAGGCGACGAUGGGUAGGGGAACUGAGAGGAUGAGCCCUGAGAGGGGGACUGGCACACGGACCAGACUGAUACGGGAGGCAGCAGUGAGGAAGAUUGGUCAAUGGGCGAGAGCCUGAACCAGCGAAGUCGCGUGAAGGAAGACUGUCUUAUGGAUUGUAAACUUCUUUUAGAAGGGAAUAACAAGAGCCACGUGUGGCUGCGUGCAGGUACCGGAUGAAUAAGCAUCGGCUAACUCCGUG
rnacentral:rRNA from 1 species